rnacentral:tRNA from 3 species
GCGCCUCUAGCUCAAUUUGGCAGAGCAUCGGACUCUUAAUCCGCAGGUUCUGGGUUCGAGUCCCAGGGGGCGCACCA